CCCUGAGACCCCCACUCCCACGUCUCCUCCCCAGCGAGGACCCCCGUUCUCCAACCCCCUCACUUUGAAGCGCUUCUCACCACUGAUGGCGGGCGUUGCUUCGUUUGGGGACAGAACUGUUCCAUUUAUAGCCGUGUUCCCUGCCUCAGCACACUGGUGGGUACCUAGUGGGGGCCUGUGAGCAUGUCAAAUGGGAGGCUGAGCAAAUGGGGCAGGAAGGGGCGACAUGGUGGAGCUGGCCCCUUGGGGAAGGUGAAGAAGGGGUGGGGGGCCUGCAAGGCCUGAGCCCCAUGCCAGCAUCACCAGCAUCGUUAGUCACGUAGAGGAGGGAGAGGGAACCAGACGGACUAGGAGCUGAGGUGGACGCCUGCAGCGCAGUCAGCCCCUUCCUCUCCUCACCCCGGGUUUCCUCAUAAUCACCACAGGUGCACAAUGGCCUCUGGAAAUUGAAUUUGUGGGCAGGUAAUAGGAGUUGGGAAGUGGAAGCAAAUAGAUCCUGCAGGCCUGUCACUGACACCCCCUCCCCGUGACUGACAAUGGGGUGGGUAUGAGCUCUGGGAAUGGCAGGUCCCUGCUCUCCUAAGCUGGCCUGGGGUCCAAGGGGGUCGCUAGUGGCGGCCAGCGGGAGUCCCGAUGGUGGCAGCUACCAUCUUCACUUUGGCAGAAUUGUUUCUUCUUUCCCUCAGCCUGACCCAUGAUUCCAAGGCUGGUAAGGGGGCAGUGCCAGGCACCUGGUGCCUCUUAUCCAGCUGGCCCAGGGGUGCCCUGCAGGUGGUGACUGUGGCUUAAAUUCCUGGUGCCCCCAGUGGCCAGCACAGGGCACCCCCAAGGGCACCAGUCCACCUGGGGGACCUUUCAGAGAAGCACGGCCCACUGCCCAGGGGCUUGGGGGCACUGAGGGCCCCCUGCCACCUGAGUGUCCCCAGCACCACACUAGCCUAGCCUUGCCCGACUGAGCCCGGGAGAUGGGAACUGGGGUGAUCUUGUCCCAGGGCCCAGCACACAGUAGGUCGUCAUCUGGUGAACCCAAGAAUGGACAAAUGAAUGAGAGAAUGAACGAGUAAGUCCUUCUUGGGCACUGAGGUGGGAACUUUUAAAUAAUAAAACAGCAGUUGUCAGGACAAUUAAACAGAGGCAGGACGAGAGGUGCUGAUCCUGGGGAAACUGAGGCAGGUGGGGGCACAGCUAGAAGAGGAAACUCACACGGGACAGGUACUUUAGAAACAGGGUCUCACCUGACUCUUACGCAGCUCUCCCGCCCCCGGCAUGAGGUCACUGCCCCCACUUCACAGAUGGGAAAAGAGAGGUGCAGAGAAGCGUGCACCCCCGAGGCCUCCCAGCUAACACGUGGCAGCCCCUGGCUUCCAUCUCAGACAGUCCAGUUUGCAACAUGCAUGCUCUGUGCUGGGAGGGGAGGGGCGUCUCCCGACGGGCCCCCUGGGAGCGGGGAUGUGUGGUGGGGCCCAGGUCAGCCAGGACUCUGACAGGGCAGGUGGUCACAGUCUGGAUUGAGGACUGGCCGCACAGACCUCGGCUCUUCCUGCGCUGGGUGACCCUGGGCAGGGCACGUGCCCUGUCUGGGAUUGAACCCCUGAUGUAUAAAAUGGGGGGACAUGGCUGUUCCCCUACCCCUCUUCUCUGCGGCCACCUUCCACUGUCUUCCUGACCUCCCCUGACGGUGAGGGUGAGGGCUCCUCCUUCCUUCGAAAACCCCUCAAGGCCCCUGGACUUGUCCCAGCACCUGUGCAGGCACUGACCCUGCAGCCCAAGCACUGACCGGAGGCUGUGUGCCGCUGACUGAGCGGCCUCAGUUUCCCCAUCUGUAAUAUGGGCCACUAGGAGUGCCUGCCUUGGGGCUGCGGCGAGGACUGAAGGAGAGAAAAGAGUGACACCAGCACCUGGUGAGGGCUCCACGGCAGCCCCGAGACCACCUUUGUUACUACAUCGGAGGUGCUGAUGUAACGUGCCCCACCCCUUGUUACUGUCACUCACGUCGGAGGUGCUGACGUAACGUGCCCCUCCCCUUGUUACUGUCACUCACGUCGGAGUUGCUGACGUAACGUGCCCCUCCCCUUGUUACUGCUACUCACGUCGGAGUUGCUGACGUAACGUGCCCCUCCCCUUGUUACUGCUACUCACGUCGGAGUUGCUGACGUAACGUGGCCCUCUACCAUCAGGCCUGGGAGCACCACUGGUGGUGCGGCGGGGGGCGGCGUGCUGUCAUAGGAAGGCCAGUACACAGCAGGUGAUCAAUAAAAGGGAAAUGAAUGAAGUGAUCUGGUUCAUCAAGGCCAAAGUACUGAAGAGCACCCGGCUUCUUGGGGGCCGAAGAACCAUCAUAGGAGCAGAGGCAUUGAAGGCCUUUGCAGCAGAGUCAAGCACCCACGAGGCACGCGGCGAAGCUGCUCUGCUGGGAGCCUUACCCACAUCUCAGGGGCUGCUUCCGGUGAACCCAAACUAAGGCAUGCAAACGGCAAACACAAAGUGUCUCCCAGUGACAGAAUGGCACGAAGCAGGGCCUCACGGGGCCGGCGCGCUGAAGUGUCUGGAUUUGCUGACAUCAUCGAACAUUAAAAAAAAAAGUUACUAAUAAGGAAAAACGGGAAAGGCUA